AAUCCCCAGUUUUCCCUAAUUAACCAUUUGGUACUGGAGUUUUGGCCAAAACAAUCCCCGGUCAUCCCCGGAAAACCCCAUCCCCGAUCCGUUUUUGCCUUGCACGCAAUCCCCUACCCACACCUCGCGUAUUAUCCCCGUCCCCAUUCAAACCCUAUGCACGCAAGCGAGCGGCGGCGACGGGAUCGGAGCUGCAGGUCGGGCGGAGCAUCUAACCGACGAAUACAAGGAUGGAUCUCUCCGAGCUGCUCCACAACGCCGCCGCCGUUGUUGGAAUUUGACCGGCGAUGCCACUUCCCGUUGGUCAUGUGCUCCGAUCUGUGUUUUUCUCUUCUACAAGUGUGACGGUUAAGGUUGCUCUCUUGCUUGAGGUUUUGCAGCAGAAACUCUUGGAACCAAAGAGCUGGAGCUUGAAAUCUACUUUAUGGUCAAAUUUCUUCUUCUACCUUUGAUCGGUAGUUAUUUGUGUUGGACUGCAGGGCAUCAUCCACCCAUCAUUUUGAAAUGUACCUGCAGCUGCUAAUUGGC